CAGUAGCCGCGGUAAUACGGAGGGGGCUAGCGUUGUUCGGAAUUACUGGGCGUAAAGCGCACGUAGGCGGCUUGGUAAGUUAGAGGUGAAAGCCUGGAGCUCAACUCCAGAAUUGCCUUUAAGACUGCCGAGCUAGCAGGUGAGAGAGGUAAGUGGAAUUCCGAGUGUAGAGGUGAAAUUCGUAGAUAUUCGGAAGAACACCAGUGGCGAAGGCGGCUUACUGGCUCAUACUGGACGCUGAGGUGCGAAAGCGUGGGGAGCAAACAGGAUUAGAUACCCGCGUAGUCCCUGUCUCUUAUAC
rnacentral:rRNA from 1 species